rnacentral:lncRNA from 1 species
GUGUGGGCCUUUCUUCCGUAUUUCCUGAUAACCCCCUGUAGAAAUAGACGAACACCAAAACUUGUGGAAUUCUGUCAGAUAAAAUCCUAAGUCUAGGUGUUGGUUCAAUUUCGAUCCUUUUCUAUGAUCAGUUGAUUGUUAAUUGUGAGCAUUAAGGACCGUCAACAAGCUCCCCCAAGCUUAACCUUUGCUCGUCCCUGAGCAAAGAUGAACUCAAGAGUUUCUGCAGUGGUUUCAUAACUUAAAGAUACACAUGCGUUUAAACAAGAUCUCAUCUCUGGUUAGAGUAAACUGUUAAGAUUUAAACUUACUCAUUUUACCUUCCACCAUGGGGCUUGCAACCGUCACUUGUGUCUUGAGCAGUUAAAAGAUAGAACGGUCUAGUCAAGCGCCAUGUCUCUUGUUCUUCGAUUAACUAUAGCUCUGGAGUUUUUGCAGAUUUUCAAAUAAAACUCAGAGAUUCCUUGUAUGACUCUCUCUAGUGUCUAUUUUGUGGUAUUUCAGGAUCCUUACCAAGGCAGUGAUGGUAUAUGCCUUCUCUCAAAGUAUGUGGUAUUUGUGGUAUAAGACAUAGUGGCAUUGCCUUUUCUCUCACCCUACUCUAAUAAGGUUUUGAUAUCUGGAGCUCAUAGGUGGGAGAUAGCUAAUACAUACUUACAAGACAUUUAUUGCAUAGUCAAACCAUGGAUCCAGAAGAACAAGUCAAUAAGUCAAAUCAAGAUGUGCAUGUGUGGCGAAUGAAUGAUGCAUGGUAAUGAUGGUGAUAACAAUGGUGAAAGUCUAAUUCUACUUAUGCUCUUUUGAGGGGAUACAUACCUUUCUUGCUCUUUUGAAACUUUUUGAGGAGAAUGAGAUGCUCUAUAUUUUCUUUUUUCUUUUCUCUCAGGUGGGUAUCUUGUACCCCUAAUUCUACUGUCGGACAUUUGUCCAUUUUUACCUCUCGUCUCACUUUUUUUUCUUUUCUUUCGAGGUUCCGGGCACUUGCCCCUUUUUAUUUCCUCGUAUUUAUUUUUUUUCCCUCUUUUUUUUUAUUAGAGCACUCAUCUCAUGAGAUAAUAUAGCAAGUGGUAGUAACAAGAUAACUUGAGCAUUUAUUUCACAGGGAAAAACAUAAAUAGGAGAAUAUUUUUGGCUAUUCUCUCCCGGAUUAGGAGUAGAAUAUUUUUGGGUGGUUCUGGAGAUGGAAAUGGAUGGAUAUAUGUGGAUGGUACUUCUGGAGUAGAAGUAGCACGUGUGAGUGAACGUGCAAGUGAAUCUUGAUUUAACCACAUGACAAACUCCUAAGGGUCUACACAGCUUGACCACACUCAAUGCUCAUAAGCAGUAAAAAGUAAAUGUGUGGUUCAUAGUCUAACAAGCAUGUAUAUAUGGCUGUGGUAGGAAUUUAAACUCUCAUCAUACAGGAACUCAUCAUGCAACAUUUUAAAGAUUUUCAAAGAUAAAAUUCUCUAGAAUUCUAGCAUCUCUAGGAACAGAUAAACAGCAGCUCAACCUUCCCAUAUCAUAUCCGUUAACGACUUAGACUUCAGAUCAAGUACUCUCCCCACAAGUUCAGGUUUAGAGCAAAUCUUAAUUAAUACCAGUCAUGCCUAAACUAGAGAGAGAUUUCAAUUUUGAGAACUAGCCAUGGCAGAGCAACUAUUCAUCAUUUCCAUGUGAGAGCUUAUCAUGAGGAUUCAUGGCAAACUUUAUUUAUUUAUUUAUUUAGCAAACUAAGCAAAGAUAUAUAUAAGCACAAAAUCUUUAUUUGGGUUUUUAUGAUUAUGCAUCUUUUUAUUAUUAGAGUAGAGUAUAAACGUGAGUAGAAUACUUAGCUGGAUAAAUGGGGGUGCUCUCCCCCAAGCUGGAUUUUGACGUAAUUCCUUUUGAUGUAGCUAGCCAGUGGUGGAGGUGUAUUUGAAUGUCGGCAGCACCCUGAUGACGAUUAGGAUGUCCUUCGUCUACUAGUCUUCUUUGAUCCUUGAAUUCUGUGGAGCUCAAAUAAACAACAAAGCUUUGUAGAACUAGUUAAGUGUUAGCAUAUAUAUCUAGCCUUUAUCAUGUUGAGCCUCCUCAAUAAAUGUUACUCAUUAGUAGGAUCAUAAUUUUAUUUUUAUAAUUUUAUUUUUAUAGGACAUGAAUAUACUUAUUUCAUUUUUACGCAACCACAGUGGAUGUACUUAUGGGUUUUAUGCCAUGAUCAUACUCACAUGGGGCUUACUAUUUUUAACAUUUUUAUUUUCUUUUCAAGAUGAUAUGAACCUGCUUAACUAAGCAAACUAUUUUAAAUAGUUGAAAGGAAAAAGAUAACUACCAAGUUUACCUCUUGGCAAGGCGUUCGGUGUUUUUAAGUCCUCCGAAUGGGACUCUCCAUUUUCUCAGUCAUCCUGGGAUUCGCUGGAUGCGUAGUCGGUGGUUCCGGUGGAGCCUCCUCUUCGUGUAUAACAAUCUUCUCUCUACACACCUGACUCGGUGCUACGGUCUCCUUAGGACAGUUCUGUUCAAGUUGUAUGUCUUCAGAUAUUACCACUUCUUCUUCGUAGUCUGCCCAUCCGUCCUUUAUGAUUUUCCUCCUCUGGUUACGGUUGCGUCGUCUUCUUCUUGUCCUGACCUGCUUAGAGUCUUCAACUAUAUAGUUAGAGUCAGUAAAACAGUGGCGUAACUUCUCUGAGGGGAAGUUCAUGUGGACUUCUCCGGUUCCAAUGUAGAUGAUUAUUUUAACAGUGCUGAGGAACUGUCUCCCAAGGAUGAUGGGUGGAUCGUGCUCGUCUUUUCCCAUGUCAAUAACCAUUCAGAAUGUCUGAUCUGCCAUCUGAAGUUGAAUGUAUGUCGGUUUAGGGGCAUGGUUCUGAAUAGGAGCUGAUAGGUGACUAGCGGCCAUUAUGUUGAUGCCUGACCCGGUGUCGCAAAGCGUCUUCUAGAAGUUGUAUCCAUUAAUGGAGCACUGGAUGCUUGGCAUGCCUGGUCGUCCUUUUUGGUCAGGAACGGUGACUUAAAUAGAUGAUCUUGACCUCCUUGAACUGCAGUGACCAUCUUAGCUGACUCGGUCCACACUUGCUUGUUCCUGUUCCUCCUGUUGGUCCUCUUCCUUGGUUCAUGUCGGGAAUGCUCUGAGAUUUGUGUAGUCUUGUUCUUGAAGGAAAACGUCUCCUUCCUCCCCUUGAUGUAGAAACUGAUCUUGGCAGCACUAGCGUAGAUGACAGCUCCUGAGGUGUUCAGGAAUGGCCUCCCUAGGAUGGAUGCCCUCUCAUCAGUACCAGUCUCUAUCACCACGAAGUCUGCUGGGGCGUACAAGGUACCAACUCAGACGAAGAGGUUGUUCAAUAUUCUCUUUGGGAAACUUAGCGUACGAUCUGCAAGCUGCAAACACAUGGUUGUUUCUAGGAAAGGAUGUGUAAAGAAUUUUUCAUAGAGUACCCUGAGCAUAAUGUUGACGCUGGAGCCAAAGUUGCAGAGUGCUUCUAGGAAGUCCACCAUGCCGAUGGAGAUCGGGAUGACGGGACGUCCUGGAUUGUAUCUCUUGACCAGCAGAAGGUCAGUAAUUACUUCCACAACGGGGUUACUCCAGUAGUUACGUCCUCAAGCAUCUCAGGGCAGUGAUUGCCUGAGUGUCCAGUAUCUCCAGUGUGUUUGUGCUCGUAGAUCUAGGUUCUUCACUUGGUGGAGUCUGGGAGUUGUAAAAGUCCGUCAUAUUUUGCUUGAAGUGUACCUGCUCAUAGAGACAAGGCAGAGAUCAAGUGCAUGGGCCCUGUUGGUGGAAAACACCAACAGAACCAAAAGUGUAUUUGUUCUCUCUAACCUUAAGAAUAGUGAGCAAGACAAAGUUGAUGGAUAAUAAGAUCAUGAGUGUAGCAUUUAAAACAUUUGUCAGAUCAGAUCACUCAAUCUAAUGGAAAGAUAAUCUAUCUAUAUUUAUGUUUUUUUAUCUUCCAAAGGUUGAGUGUGCAACAUUAUAGCUCAUAUUAGGAGUAUAGGAUCACCAAAAGUGGAAGGACUAAACAUGUGGAAUCGAUCGGGUUGGUUAAUCUAGAGUUGUAAACCAUACAUGUUUGUCUCUUUUAUUCAUGUGAACGCCAGAACCAAGGAGAAGCUUAUAGAAGUGAUAGUCAAGUACCUUAAGAUGUUACCUUACUUGAAGAGUGAUGGUACAGUAUCACCUUAUGGAAGCUUUCCUUUCUUAGCGGUUGUGCAUCGUUUUUGUGGCACCCUCCAUGGAUCAUCUCUUAUGCCUUCCUUGUGUAAAUUGUUAAACUUCAUGUGUCUCUCUCUUUGUCUCUAAUGUGAGUUUAUCUCAGGACUUCCCAGGUCGAUAUUGAAAGUUUUCCUGCAGGGGUUAGUCCAACAAAAUAUCCAAUAUCUACUAUAGCAUACUAUCGGCUCAAAAAUCAAUCUAGACACCAUGUCUACUUUGAUUUAGGAGGGCAUUUUAACCUAAGCACCAUGCUUAAUUUAAAACCCCUUGGAAGUAAGAUCAUCAUUCCUAACUAAGCACCAAGCUUAAUUAAGAGAUAAAUGAAACUACUCCAAACCUAGACAUAUACUAAAGCAAAUAAAGGUAGCAUGAGAGCAUUUAUAGAGUUCUACUCAAGUGGAGAUGAAGUAGUGUGAUUAGUAUUUAACAAAUUGAGCAUGUCUCAAAGGUAGGGACAACCAACAUAACAACAUGGCAAAGGAUGUUCUUAUGUAAGUACUCCCCCAAGCUUGAAUUUUUCAAAAUUCAAGUUUGGAUGAAUUUAAUUCAAUGUUGUAUGAUAGUUGGUUGGACAUACCUUGUGCUUGGCAUUCAUCCGAUCUUCUUGCUCCAAUCCUGAAAAGGUUAGUGACAAGAAUACCCGAAGGAAUUUUCUACAAUUAUCCUUAUAUGCUCAAUACACAAGGUAAUGUUGCAAAUAAUUAAAAGCUCAUGUUACGAUCUGAUCAGUGCUUGUUUUAGGACACUAAGCUUGUCCUUGGGAAACCCUCAAUUUAUGUCGGCGAAGUGGUUUCCCCUCCAACGCUGACCUAUAUUAAGAUCAACUCAACGAGAUCUGCAAAAUUUAUUAUAGACAUAUGCAUCGACAACCGCCCUUUUAAAGUUUUCAUAAAUAGAAAGGAAGUGGGGGUUGGAGAUCUCGAAUGUGGUGAUGUUGGAGAGACCAAUGGAUUGUGAAGAUGUUGCAUAUGAGCAUGGAGUAAAUGAAGUGGCUAUGAAAUAAAUUCCAUGCUCAUUAAUGCUUAGAGUGAAAUCCAUGUGGUAUGGUGAAAAUGGUAAGGUGAGUGUGGUAAAAAAAAGAAAAGAAAAAGGAUACACGGACGACUUGGUUCGAAACUAGCAUAGCUACUGUUCCCCGGCAACGGCGCUAGAAAGCUUGUUGGGUAUUUUAAACGCAAACAGAAAAAUCCGCAAGCGCACGGAUACCGAUGUAGCUUUCACCCGGGAGUAUUCUAGAGUAUCGAUUUUCCACAGAGAACGUGAGUGCACUAAUUAAGAUCCAAGAUCGCCCAAGGAUAACUAUAUAAUUAUUUUUGGUGGGAAGAGAGGAAGUUUCCUGAGAGUUCUCUAGUUGAUCUAAGAAUCAAAAAUUAGUUCAAGAUUAUCUAUUUCGGGACAUCAGAACACUAACCACAGAAAGAGACGAGAAGGGGGCUAGGAAGGUCUGACUACGGUCCUACAAACACCGAUCCGAACAAGGUGGAAUACGUCGACCGUUAGGGCUGUCACUACCCUAAGGCUACCACAACAAUCCGCAGGAUUGGGUGCAAUUCUAUGUAAUUGCAAGACUAAACACCACGUCUAAUCUAUUAAUUACUACUCUAAUGUUUCAAAGAUUAGAGCACUUGAUGCAAGCAGGAAUCCAAUAAAUAACUUGAAUGUAAAUAAAAGUAAUUAGAGAACUCAGGAAUUAUGAAUUGAAGAACGUGGAGAACGAUGAAGAACGAACCAGUUGCUGCAAAAGUACAAUGUUGAGGAAGAUCCGACAGAUCCGGCUCCUCCUCCUCCGCUCUCCUCUUCUCUCUUCCUAUUUUCUAGAUUACAACUCGCACUAACUAGAACUAGAACUAGAGGAACUAGAACUAGAACUAGAUGAACUAGAACUAGAUCUAGAUGAACUAGAGGUAGAACUAGAAGAACUAGAGGGAUCCUCUCUACUUGGAUGAAGAAUUGAAACCCUAACUUUGAUUCUGUAGAAGAGGUAUGAUCUCCAGGGGCCAGGGGAUCUGGUUUUAUAGUCCCUUCAAGUGAAUCUGGGCCCUCGGAUCAAACCGACAUUGAUCGUGUGGUUUUCCUUGAAGUAUUAGGUCGGUGGAGUGUUGUCCCCGAAUUGGACUCUGUUUGGUCCAGGGGGGAGGGCGGGCGCCCAGUAAGGGAGGGCGGGCGCCCAGUGCCCGGCUCCGUUACGUCUCCCGUUCGCUCCCGUGGCUUCUGGACUCUUCUAGAUGGUAGAUAGUUGUGCGGCACGUUAAUAUCUCUAUGUAAACCCGACGUGUGGGCCUUUCUUCCGUAUUUCCUGAUAACCCCCUGCAGAAAUAGACAAACACCAAAACUUGUGGAAUUCUGUCAGAUAAAACCCUAAGUCUAGGUGUUGGUUGCAUUUCGAUCCUUUUCUAUGAUCAGUUGAUUGUUAAUUGUGAGCAUUAAGGACCGUCAACAAGCUCCCCCAAGCUUAACCUUUGCUCGUCCCUGAGCAAAGAUGAACUCAAGAGUUUCUGCAGUGGUUUCAUAACUUAAAGAUACACAUGCGUUUAAACAAGAUCUCAUCUCUGGUUAGAGUAAACUGUUAUGAUUUAAACUUACUCAUUUAAACUUCCACCAUGGGGCUUGCAACCGUCACUUGUGUCUUGAGCAGUUAAAAGGUAGAACGGUCUAGUCAAGCACCAUGUCUCUUGUUCUUCGAUUAACUAUAGCUCUGGAGUUUUUUUAGAUUUUCAAAUAAAACUCAGAGAUUCCUUGUAUGACUCUCUCUAGUCUCUAUUUUGUGGUAUUUCUAGAUCCUUACCAAGGCAGUGAUGUUAUAUGCCUUCUCUCAAAGUAUGUGGUAUUUGUGGUAUAAGACAUAGUGGCAUUGCCUUUUCUCUCACCCUACUCUAAUAAGGUUUUGAUAUCUGGAGCUCAUAGGUGGGAGACAGCUAAUACAUACUUACAAGACAUUUAUUGCAUAGUCAAACCAUGGAUCCAGAAGAACAAGUCAAUAAGUCAAAUCAAGAUGUGCAUGUGUGGCGAAUGAAUGAUGCAUGGUAAUGAUGGUGAUAACAAUGGUGAAAGUCUAAUUCUACUUAUGCUCUUUUGAGGGGAUACAUACCUUUCUUGCUCUUUUGAAACUUUUUGAGGAGAAUGAGAUGCUCUAUAUUUUCUUUUUUCUUUUCUCUCAGGUGGGUAUCUUGUACCCCUAAUUCUACUGUCGGACACUUGUCCAUUUUUACCUCUCGUCUCACUUUUUUUUCUUUUCUUUCGAGGUUCCGGGCACUUGCCCCUUUUUAUUUCCUUGUAUUUAUUUUUUUCUCUCUCUUUUUUUUUAUUAGAGCACUCAUCUCAUGAGAUAAUAUAGCAAGUGGUAGUAACAAGAUAACUUGAGCAUUUAUUUCACAGGGAAAAACAUAAAUAGGAGAAUAUUUUUGGCUAUUCUCUCCCGGAUUAGGAGUAGAAUAUUUUUGGGUGGUUCUGGAGAUGGAAAUGGAUGGAUAUAUGUGGAUGGUACUUCUGGAGUAGAAGUAGCAUGUGUGAGUGAACGUGCAAGUGAAUCUUGAUUUAACCACAUGACAAGCUCCUAAGGGUCUACACAGCUUGACCACACUCAAUGCUCAUAAGCAGUAAAAAGUAAAUGUGUGGUUCACAGUCUAACAAGCAUGUAUAUAUGGCUGUGGUAGGAAUUUAAACUCUCAUCAUACAAGAACUCAUCAUGCAACAUUUUAAAGAUUUUCAAAGAUAAAAUUCUCUAGAAUUCUAGCAUCUCUAGGAACAGAUAAACAGCAGCUCAACCUUCCCAUAUCAUAUCCGUUAACGACUUAGACUUCAGAUCAAGUACUCUCCCCACAAGUUCAGGUUUAGAGCAAAUCUUAAUUAAUACCAGUCAUGCCUAAACUAGAGAGAGAUUUCAAUUUUGAGAACUAGCCAUGGCAGAGCAACUAUUCAUCAUUUCCAUGUGAGAGCUUAUCAUGAGGGUUCAUAGCAAACUUUAUUUAUUUAUUUAUUUAGCAAACUAAGCAAAGAUAUAUAUAAGCACAAAAUCUUUAUUUGGAUUUUUAUGAUUAUGCAUCUUUUUAUUAUUAGAGUAAAGUAUAAACGUGAGUAGAAUACUUAGCUGGAUAAAUGGGGGUGCUCUCCCCCAAGCUGGAUUUUGACGU